GCCCCAGUGGCCUAAUGGAUAAGGCAUCGGUCUCCUAAACCGGGGAUUGUGGGUUCGAGUCCCACCUGGGGUA
rnacentral:tRNA from 1 species